UACGGAGGGGGCGAGCGUUAUUCGGAAUUAUUGGGCGUAAAGGGCGCGUAGGCGGCUCGAUAAGUCAAAGGUGAAAUCCCUCGGCUCAACUGAGGAACUGCCUUUGAAACUGUAGAGCUUGAGUCCGGGAGGGGGUAGCGGAAUUCCCAGUGUAGCGGUGAAAUGCGUAGAUAUUGGGAGGAACACCAGUGGCGAAGGCGGCUACCUGGACCGGAACUGACGCUGAGGCGCGAAAGCGUGGGGAGCGAACAGG
rnacentral:rRNA from 1 species